rnacentral:rRNA from 1 species
AACGUAGGGGACAAGCGUUAUCCGGAUUUACUGGGCGUAAAGCGCCCGUAGGCGGCCUGACAAGUUGGACGUGAAAGCUCCUGGCUUAACUGGGAGAGGCCGUUCAAAACUGUCAAGCUAGAGUCUGGAAGAGGAGAGCGGAAUUCCCGGUGUAGUGGUGGAAUGCGUAGAGAUCGGGAAGAACAUCGGUGGCGAAGGCGGUCUGCUGGGCCGUUGCUGACGCUGAGGCGCGACAGCGUGGGGGAGCAAACAGG